GACGGAGGAUGCAAGUGUUAUCCGGAAUCACUGGGCGUAAAGCGUCUGUAGGUGGUUUAAAAAGUCUACUGUUAAAAAUUGAAGCUUAACUUCAAAGAUGCCGUAGAAACUUUUAAACUUGAGGAUGGUAGGGGUAGAGGGAAUUUCCAGUGGAGCGGUGAAAUGCGUAGAUCUUGGAAAAGACCACCAAUGGCGAAGGCACUCUACUGGGCCAUGACUGACACUAAGAGACGAAAGCUAGGGGAGCAAAUGGG
rnacentral:rRNA from 1 species